GAUGAACGCUAGCUACAGGCUUAACACAUGCAAGUCGCGGGGCAGCAUUUUCUUAGCUUGCUAAGGAAGAUGGCGACCGGCGCACGGGUGAGUAACGCGUAUCCAACCUUCCCAUGUCCACGGGAUAGCCCGUCGAAAGGCGGAUUAAUACCGUAUGAGGUCACAUGCGGGCAUCUAAGUGUGACGAAAGGUUUGGCGGACAUGGAUGGGGAUGCGUCCGAUUAGCUAGUUGGCGGGGUAACGGCCCACCAAGGCGACGAUCGGUAGGGGUUCUGAGAGGAAAGUCCCCCACAUUGGAACUGAGACACGGUCCAAACUCCUACGGGAGGCAGCAGUGAGGAAUAUUGGUCAAUGGGCGAAGCCUGAACCAGCCAAGUAGCGUGCAGGACGACGGCCCUAUGGGUUGUAAACUGCUUUUAUGCGGGGAUAAGUGGGCCACGCGUGGCCUUUUGCAGGUACCGCAUGAAUAAGGACCGGCUAAUUCCGUG
rnacentral:rRNA from 1 species